rnacentral:rRNA from 1 species
GAUGAACGCUGGCGGCGUGCUUAACACAUGCAAGUCGAACGGACAGGCGAGGAUCUUGCUGGGCGCACGUGAGGGGCGGGCGUGUGAGUCACACGAGUAUAACCUACCUGUAAGUCUGGUAUAACCACGGGACUGCGGAUCUAACACCGGAGGAGAUGUUGAACCGCGGGGUGCGAUAGUCAAAGUCGGCUUUUCGGGCUCGACUAGCGGGUUCCGGGCCGGAUUGGCUAGUUGGUACGGUAACGGGUUACCAAGGCGACGAUGCGUAGGCGACCUGAGAGGGUGAUCGGCCACACUGGAACUGAGACACGGUCCAGACUCCUACGGGAGGCAGCAGUGGGGAAUGUUGGGCAAUGGGGGAAAGCAUGACGCAGCAAGGCCGCGUGAGAGACGAAGGCCUUCGGGUCGUAAAAAGCUGUUGUUAGGGAAGAACAACUGUGGACUAAUACAUGGAGGGAUUGACGGUACCGGAUAAAAAAGCACCGGCUAACUACGUG